GAGUUUGAUCAUGGCUCAGAUUGAACGCUGGCGGCAUGCUUUACACAUGCAAGUCGAACGGCAGCGCGGGGCAACCUGGCGGCGAGUGGCGAACGGGUGAGUAAUAUAUCGGAACGUACCCAAGAGUGGGGGGAUAACGUAGCGAAAGUUACGCUAAUACCGCAUACGAUCUAAGGAUGAAAGUGGGGGAUCGCAAGACCUCAUGCUCCUGGAGCGGCCGAUAUCUGAUUAGCUAGUUGGUGAGGUAAAGGCUCACCAAGGCGACGAUCAGUAGCUGGUCUGAGAGGACGACCAGCCACACUGGAACUGAGACACGGUCCAGACUCCGUACGGGAGGCAGCAGGUGGGGUAAUUUUGGACAAGUGGGCGCAAGCCUGAUCCAGCAAUGCCGCGUGAGUGAAG
rnacentral:rRNA from 1 species